CUACGGGACGCUGCAGUGAGGAAUUUUGCGCAAUGGGGGCAACCCUGACGCAGCAACGCCGCGUGAGUGAAGAAGGCCUUUGGGUCGUAAAGCUCUGUCAACUGGGAAGAAAUUAGCAUCAAUUAAUAGUUGUUGUUAUUGACGGUACCAGUGGAGGAAGCGCCGGCUAACUCCGUGCCAGCAGCCGCGGUAACACGGGGGGCGCAAGCGUUAUUCGGCAUUAUUGGGCGUAAGGGGCGCGCAGGCGGUCUUGUCAGUCAGGUGUGAAAGCCCGGGGCUCAACCCUGGAAGUGCACUUGAAACAGCAAGACUUGAGUACGGGAGAGGAAAGCGGAAUUCCUGGUGUAGAGGUGAAAUUCGUAGAUAUCAGGAGGAACACCGAUGGCGAAGGCAGCUUUCUGGACCGAUACUGACGCUGAGGCGCGAAGGCGUGAGUAGCGAACGGGAUUAGAUACCCCCGUAGUC
rnacentral:rRNA from 1 species